UUAACUCAUUUUUUUAUGGACUAGGAACGUUUGCCUACGUUUGCCGCUAGGGGCGCUGUUUCAACUGCAUACAAAUUUGAGUUA
rnacentral:pre_miRNA from 1 species